rnacentral:rRNA from 1 species
GAUAAACGCUGGCGGCGUGCCUAACACAUGCAAGUCGAACGCCCUUUUGCGCAAGUGAGAGGGAGUGGCGGACGGGUGAGUAACACGUGGGUACCUACCUUGAGGUGAGGAAUACCACCGAGAAAUCGGUGACAAGACCGCAUACGCUUGGCAACAAGCAAAGUCUCGCAAGAGACGCCACAAGAUGGGCCUGCGCCUGAUUAGCUAGUUGGUGAGGUAACAGCNCACCAAGGCGACGAUCAGUAGCUGGUCUGAGAGGAUGAUCAGCCACACU